rnacentral:rRNA from 1 species
AGAAUCAACGCUGGCGGCGCGCUUAACACAUGCAAGUCGAACGAGAAAGUGGAGCAAUCCAUGAGUACAGUGGCGUACGGGUGAGUAACACGUGGAUCAUCUACCUCUUGGUGGGGAAUAACCCUGGGAAACCGGGGCUAAUACCGCAUAACCCUGAGAAGGCAAAGCUGGAUAAAACCGGUGCCGGGAGAGGAGUCCGCGGCCGAUUAGCUAGUUGGUAGGGUAAUGGCCUACCAAGGCAAUGAUCGGUAGCCGGCCUGAGAGGGCACACGGCCACACUGGCACUGAAACACGGGCCAGACUCCUACGGGAGGCAGCAGUGGGGAAUCUUGCACAAUGGGGGCAACCCUGAUGCAGCGACGCCGCGUGAGCGAUGAAGCCCUUCGGGGUGUAAAGCUCUUUCGGCAGGGACGAUAAUGACGGUACCUGAAGAAGAAGCUGCGGCUAACUACGCGCCAGCAGCCGCGGUAA